rnacentral:tmRNA from 1 species
GGGGGCGACUUGGCUUCGACGGCGGUGACGAAAUCAAAGGUGCAUGUCGAGAGGGUAGUGACUCUCGUAAAACAAUCGCUGCAACUUUUAUAGUUGCUAACGAAGAUAACUACGCACUAGCAGCCUAAAAUACCUGCUAACCCUGGUCACUUGGUGCCUGUAACAGG